UACAGAGGGUGCGAGCGUUGUCCGGAAUCACUGGGCGUAAAGGGCGCGUAGGUGGCGACCCAAGUCGAUGGUGAAAGCUCGCCGCUCAACGGCGAGUCGGCCACCGAUACUGGGUUGCUGGAGCACUGUAGAGGCAGAUGGAAUUCCGGGUGUAGCGGUGGAAUGCGUAGAGAGUCCGGAAGAACACCGGUGGCGAAGGCGGGUCUCUGGGCAGUAACUGACGCUGAGGAGCGAAAGCGUGGGGAGCGAACAGG
rnacentral:rRNA from 1 species